rnacentral:tRNA from 1 species
GGGAAUGUGGCUUAGUGGUAGAGUGCUUGCCUAGCAUGCAGAAGCCCUGGGUUUGAUUCCACAUUACCA